rnacentral:tRNA from 1 species
GGGAGUAGAGCUUAGUGGUAAAGUGUAUGCCUAGCAUGCAUGAAGCCCUAGGUUUGAAUCCUCAGUACCA